rfam:Nicotiana sylvestris Nsyl_contig73257, whole genome shotgun sequence.
AUACGUUGGAUGAAUGUGAGACAUCAGAUUGAUUUCGUUCAAUCCGAGCCCUACAUUCAUCCGGGGGUUCGU